rnacentral:rRNA from 1 species
CAGUAGCCGCGGGAAUACGUAGGUGGCAAGCGUUGUCCGGAAUUAUUGGGCGUAAGGGGCUCGCAGGCGGUUUCUUAAGUCUGAUGUGAAAGCCCCCGGCUCAACCGGGGAGGGUCAUUGGAAACUGGGAAACUUGAGUGCAGAAGAGGAGAGUGGAAUUCCACGUGUAGCGGUGAAAUGCGUAGAGAUGUGGAGGAACACCAGUGGCGAAGGCGACUCUCUGGUCUGUAACUGACGCUGAGGAGCGAAAGCGUGGGGAGCGAACAGGAUUAGAUACCCGUGUAGUCCCUGUCUCUUAUAC